rnacentral:rRNA from 1 species
UACGUAGGUGGCAAGCGUUGUCCGGAUUUACUGGGCGUAAAAGAGCGCGCAGGCGGUCGAUCAAGUCGCGUGUGAAAGCCCCCGGCUCAACUGGGGAGGGUCACGCGAUACUGAUCGACUCGAAGGCAGGAGAGGGUAGUGGAAUUCCCGGUGUAGUGGUGAAAUGCGUAGAUAUCGGGAGGAACACCAGUGGCGAAGGCGACUACCUGGCCUGUUCUUGACGCUGAGGCGCGAAAGCUAGGGGAGCAAACGGG